AGUGGACGCUGGCGGUAGGCCUAACACAUGCAAGUCGAACGGCAGCACAGUAAGAGCUUGCUCUUACGGGUGGCGAGUGGCGGACGGGUGAGGAAUACAUCGGAAUCUACUUUUUCGUGGGGGAUAACGUAGGGAAACUUACGCUAAUACCGCAUACGACCUACGGGUGAAAGCAGGGGAUCUUCGGACCUUGCGCGAUUGAAUGAGCCGAUGUCGGAUUAGCUAGUUGGCGGGGUAAAGGCCCACCAAGGCGACGAUCCGUAGCUGGUCUGAGAGGAUGAUCAGCCACACUGGAACUGAGACACGGUCCAGACUCCUACGGGAGGCAGCAGUGGGGAAUAUUGGACAAUGGGCGCAAGCCUGAUCCAGCCAUACCGCGUGGGUGAAGAAGGCCUUCGGGUUGUAAAGCCCUUUUGUUGGGAAAGAAAAGCAGCAGGUUAAUACCCCGCUGUUCUGACGGUACCCAAAGAAUAAGCACCGGCUAACUCCGUG
rnacentral:rRNA from 1 species